GGUUGACCUCGGAUCAGGUAGGAAUACCCGCUGAACUUAAGCAUAUAUA
rnacentral:rRNA from 1 species